UAGGCAGAGCUUAUCAGAGAAGUCAAAACCUCCUUAACAAUAUUCUGAUGAGAGCUCAGUUCUGCUUCGCACCUAGAAAUAAGGAAGGAAUCAGGGCCAGUACCGAAAGGAUGCGAGAGGAACACAGAAUGGAGCACACAAGAGGGAACCAGCACGCCUUGGAAAACAGAGAAGGAGGAUCUCUGUGAAUGCCUCCCGGACUGAGGGUUGGUGCUGGUCUGCGGACUGUUGGCUACUCGUCUGCAAUGUGAGAAACACAGAGAUUUAGAGAAAGCAUUUAGAAAAGAUGUGCCAUUGGAAUGUUGACGCAGAAGUUCCAGAGGAAAUAAACCUCCGAAAGUGUGGAGACUGGGAGCAGGUUAAUCAUCCCGUGAGAGUAACUAAUGACUGUCUGGAUGGCAGAUGGCAAACGGGGAGCACAUUGACAGGUAGAACCAUAAGCAACUACUGAAAGGAGUGGAAAAGCAGAAGAGCUUGAAACAUCUGGAAACAGAAUCAUUGAGCAUUGGCUGCCAUUUUGGGAUCUUCAGAGUUUCCUAAGCCCUCAAGAGUAGAAGAUAUCAUCCAAUACUCCCCAUAGUCAGGACACCAGUCCACGGAUUGCCUGGCCCAAAGAUCCACUCAUGGAAUCAGAUGAGAACCAUGAAUCCAGCUAAGGUAAAGGGCAUUGGUGUUUAA